UACAGUUUUCAAGGGGAUUCUUUAAU
rnacentral:piRNA from 1 species